UCGGACACCCAAGAACUCACG
rnacentral:misc_RNA from 1 species